rnacentral:rRNA from 1 species
UACGUAGGGUGCAAGCGUUGUCCGGAAUCAUUGGGCGUAAAGCGCGCGCAGGCGGUCCUUUAAGUCUGAUGUGAAAGCCCACGGCUCAACCGUGGAAGGUCAUUGGAAACUGGAGGACUUGAGUACAGAAGAGGAAAGCGGAAUUCCACGUGUAGCGGUGAAAUGCGUAGAGAUGUGGAGGAACACCAGUGGCGAAGGCGGCUUUCUGGUCUGUAACUGACGCUGAGGCGCGAAAGCGUGGGAGCAAACAGG